GAGCUUGCUCCUAAAGGUUUAAGGUGUCUAGCUGAUAAUUAGAUUAAUAAGGGUUAAACUCCCUUCAAGCUCU
rnacentral:tRNA from 1 species